CAUCUUGUUGUGACUUUUUUUUUUUAAAUCAAGUUUAGAUGGAAGAAUGAAAAAGUGAACAACACUUUGAGGAAGUAGAGUGCCAGUAACCCAACUUACCAAAACAGUUUAUUGCUGCCAUGGCAACAAUCAGGCGGCUCAACUCAGCUUGGUUCUUUUUCACUAGACCAACACAAGAAGGCAAACAUUGUAUCUGUUAACCUCCCAUCGGAAGGGCUUGGGACAGGUCUAUCAGGUGACACUGACAGUUUAAUAACCUCUGACAGCAUUUGGAAAGAUAAUCAUCCACUAGAUUAGAAGACCCGGGAUCAAAUUUCUGUUUUUAAUUAACUAAGAAAACCAAUUGCAACUUGUGAUUUUAAAUUUCUAGUGUUCUUUCUCAUUCAGUCGUAAACAGACAAAUCCACUUCCCAAAGUAUCCUUAAAAGGAGCGACGUAGUGCACAUCAAUGAGUAUGUGAAUCCAGUAAUGCUGCAGCUUCCUUUUCGGCCUUAACAAACAACAAAUGUACAACUAUUAUUAUAUAGAAUGCCAAACUGGCAACCUACUUAGGCUAUAUCUUCUUAGUGCGGCAGUGAGAGAGCAGAAAAGGUGACCGGUGAGGUCAUUGUGAGCCACCCAGAGUGUGCCAGCUUCUGCUGCACCAAAGGCUACAGGUGUCAACUACCACAGCCUUGCAGCAAACUCCUAAACUAUCAGCAACUCCAGAUCUCUUUUCCCUUUCGGAGAAGUCACCGCCAGUUGUUGAACAGAAAAAGCAACUCACAGAUUGGGUGUCACGGUUGCGAAGCGCACGCCUCCCGCGCUCGCCCGACCACGCACCUGGGAAUGAGCUGGGCCUCCUCUCCGAGGCGCGUGUGGAAGUCCCGCCAGGCGGGGCCGGGGCUCUCAGGCUCUACCGCGUCCCAGAGGCCUUGGGCCUCUCCGCUGUCCUGGCCGAGCGCUCCGCGGAAGCCACGCGCGAACUCCGGGAAGGUGAUUGCGCCAUCGCGGUCCGUGUCGAGCCCCAGGAACACUGCCUCUGCUUCGGCUUCGGCCACGUGCAGCUCCGCGCACAGCGUGCGGAACUCCGCACGUUCUAGGCGCCCGGAGCAGUUCGUGUCAUAGGUUGUGAAGACGGAGCGCAGCCGCGCAAGUUCCUCGGGGUCCGCGUCCGCCUCCAUGGCGCCGCUGGCCACCGCCGGGCUCCGAGCUCCGAGGCUCGGCCCGUGGAGCAGGUCCGGCCGGUUCCGCCACCUGCCACGGGAUGUCCGGGUGAGGCGGGGCGCAGGAGAGCGAGGCUCUUGCCUCCAACUGCUGCUGCCGCCAACUGCUGCCUCGAGCCACCUAGUGCAACGGGCCACCUCCCUGCGAGUAGGCUCCACCCUACCCAGGAGCAAAGACACACAGCCUGGCUCUCACCCAGGCUUUCUUCUGCAACAGCUGGACCAUCUCUUUGCUAAGCUUUGGGGGACUUACCGGAGGCACCCUGCACAGAUCAUAGAGGUCUCUUACUCAAGUUCUCCUCUGCACCCUAGAUACUAAUCCUGCCUGCCUGAGCAUGGAGUGCAAACACACCCACCAAAGAGGAAAAUUGGGUAGGGAUAAGAGUUCAAAUUGGCUAAAGUUUUUGGUCAUGUAUUCUCUCUUAAUUUCAGACACGUGGAAAGCCUGUCUAUGUAUGAUUCUUUUUAAAAUAAAUCAAAGAAAAAUGUA